rnacentral:rRNA from 1 species
GUGAGGAAUAUUGGUCAAUGGGCGAGAGCCUGAGCCAGCCAAGUCGCGUGAAGGAAGAAGGAUCUAUGGUUCGUAAACUUCUUUUGCAGGGGAAUAAAGUGCAGGACGUGUCCUGUUUUGUAUGUACCCUGAGAAUAAGGAUCGGCUAACUCCGUGCCAGCAGCCGCGGUAAUACGGAGGAUCCGAGCGUUAUCCGGAUUUAUUGGGUUUAAAGGGUGCGUAGGUGGUUUGAUAAGACAGCGGUGAAAGUUUGCAGCUUAACUGUAAAAAUGCCGUUGAAACUGUCGGACUUGAGUGUAAAUGAGGUAGGCGGAAUGCGUGGUGUAGCGGUGAAAUGCAUAGAUAUCACGCAGAACUCCGAUUGCGAAGGCAGCUUACUAAGCUACAACUGACACUGAAGCACGAAAGCGUGGGGAUCAAACAGGAUUAGAAACCCUGGUAGUCC